UAAAAUAUACCUUUGGAUCGCGCCACAUGAAAUGCACCCGCAAUCCGAAACACAUUUUAUUCGAAGUUAUCAAGAUUUGGAUUUGGGUCGCAUGAAAUGCGCACUCGAGUUUAGGAAGAUAAUUUUAAUUACGCGCCUAAAGAAAUUACGCAUUUUCAAGUUUGUGAGGACCAUGGAAAAUUCAACUAAUGGCACACCUCGGUUCUAAUUUCAAAGGAUUGUACUCAAAUAAAGCAAACUACGAAUGUUUAAAAUUAUUUAAACUAUUUGGGAUGAUUGUAAAAGGGAAAUGAUUAUGGAAAUUAGAUGUUGUGGAGCAAAUGUACGAUUCAACGGUUAAAAUCUAAAGAUGAUCAUAAUUAAUUGCCUAAUAUUUGAAUUGGCGCAAGAAAAAGGUUACUUAUUCGUGGCCAAAUUACAAGAUGAACAUGGGCUCUUCCAAUUGAAAUAAUAUAUUGGGUUGUGGCCCCAAAAUUACACUCAACUUUAGUCUUUUAUGGAGGUUAACCAUGGCCAAAUAUUGAUCUCUUUAGAUCUCUAACUACUGAAGAUGGAACGAAAUAAUUGUUGAGGCAUUCAUGAUACAAAAUUGCAAUAUAGGUAAAAAGAGAAAUCAAGUGCUCGGAAACUAAUCAUACAACAAGAAAACAAAAAUGGCAAUUAAAUGGACUUUUCAAUUAAAUUACAACUAUAAUAACAAUACAAUUACAUAAUCCUACUCAUACAAUUAAUCGCACAAAAUGAAUUGCUAUACAACUACAAAAUUAACAAUUAAUGUCACCUGGACUAAAUAGCGCAAACAACAAGAAUGUCCAAUGUUUGUUUCACUUAGUCACAACUCAAUUCAGGCUUGAAAUCCAUCCAGUGACGGAUUUGAUCAACUGGUAAUCACAUCCGACGACUGGCAUAACUUUGGCUUCCACGUGCUAACACCAAAUCAAAAUUACUUCAUUCACUUCAAGAGCCAAUACUAAAUGAGGAAAUAAUAUGCAUUUAGUCGUAUACUUAAUACUUAAGGAUUCUGUGUCACGGCUGAACUAGUGUUUCCAUAACAUUUUACAUCUUUAACUUUAAACGAAGGUAAUUAAAGCAUAAAACAUAACAAGGGCAAAUUGUCCUUAAUCAUGUGAAUCAUACUUGCAUAUUUGAUACCCAACAAUGAACUACCAAGCUAACACUACUACAGCAGUCCAUAUUCAGAACAAACAAAAAGAAAUAUAUAAAAAUUAAGCUAAGCUAAAAAGUUUCGAAAGUGCAGAAACAGGAAUAAACAACUGCAUUAGUACGAAUCUCUAGUCAAGUGAACUAAUCUUCAUAUUCAUUCAUUUCCAUACAUUGGAAGGUGAGAUGAAUAUCUGGCAGAAUAAAAUAAGAAAGGAGGAGAAGUUCAGCAAUAGGCAGUAGCAAGAACAAUAUUCAGCAACCAAAUCACCUAGAAAUAACCGGAAAACCAAUUUUACACCAGGUUUGAACCAACAAUAGUAUCAAAUAAAGCUCAGAAUCAUAACACGGCCAACACCUGAACCCAAACACUUGAAUACCAACAAAAAUUCAAGUCUUUUUAACCAUCAGUUAUUCAGUAAUUAUUUCAGAAGUGGAGGUCUCAAGGAUUUCAAAAUCGUCUAAAGGAAUAGUUAAAUUUUUUUGUUUUAGAUUUUUGAGUUUUUUUUUCUCUUCUCUCUCUGAAUUGAGCCACAAGUAACCAUGCCUUUAUAUGCAAGUUACUAAGGCAAGAAAUAUUCAGCCAAGUUUUUGCACUUUUGAUCCCUUUUAAUUUUCCUUUUGUUAGUUAGCCCCUCAUUUUUGACUUGCUAGCCAAGUAAGUAUACUUUUCAACUUUCAGGAAGCUUCUUAGGUAGUUACUGCAAGAUUCCUUUACAUAAUCUACCAAAAAUGCCCCUUAGCUACCCUGAAAUUAUCCCUUAGCCUCAAAUGGUUUAGGGGUUAACCGACCCAAUGGUUACACAGAUUUGGGGUCAGACUAAAAUAAAAUUUUCCAAGCAAAGAGCCUGGAACUGUGUCUUAAAACAACAGCAACAAAAGGCAAGAUUAAAGAGUUAACCUCCGAUGACAGUAAAUUUAUUAAGGAUCUAACUUCACUUAGCUAAGCAAUUAACUGGUAAAGAAAUAUUUAAACUUUUAAACACAACAAUUAAAACAAUAAAACAAGCAGAUUAAAGAAACCUCAAUUAAUAUAGGAACAGAAGAAGGACCUAGUUCGAACCCAAAACCCCACACGAAUUUUUGAUUAAACCAAUUGAAAGAAAAUCAUAAGGGGCGAAAAAGAACUUACCAAAUCCUUCUCAAACCAAACGGAAAUGGAAAACUCGACCAAGCUGAUAUUGACCCUGUUGUUCUUUGUCAAGAACAAUUGAAUCGACAUCAAUCUUGCCAAGUCAGGAUCACCAACUUUGCAAGAACUUAUUGCAUGCUACCGGGCUCUAAGGGAAAUGAUUUUGGGCUUUUGAGUUGGACUUCGAAUUAUAAUAUUCGACGAGUUCUAUGUCGAUUCAAAGGAUAUGGGUAGAGAUUUGGAAUAAGGAGGACCUGGUGGUCAUCUAGUGUUAUUUUGGGGUCGACCAGAGGCGGCAGUGCCACCAGAGAAAUUGUGGAGGUGCUAGGGUUCAUAACUUCAAGCCAAGAUUCAAGGAGUUUGGGUAAGUUUUGAGGGGAGCUAGUUGUGGAUUCAAAAUGAGGAGGCAAAGGAGGGAUUGUGGUGUAAUUUCGGUGGUCAUUGAACGUCGGCCGCCGCCAUAGGCGAUUUUCGGCGGGCGGCAGGAGGUUGCUCAGGGCGGUGAUAAUGAAGGGGUCUCUGAGAGACGGAAGGGAUGAGGUGGAGGAGGUUAUGAGGGGGGUAGGUGUUCAGACAUAUAUAUGCUUAGGAGUCCUUAGCUUCAGGACCGUUAGAUCUCCAAAACCUCAACGGCCA
rnacentral:lncRNA from 1 species